AUAUGGAGGUUCCCAGGCUAGGAGUCAAAAGAGUGCUGUAGCUGAUGGCCUACACCACAACCUCAGCAACACCAGAUCCGAACCUCAUCUGUGACCUACACCACAGCUCAUGGCAACACCAGAUUCUUAACCCACGGAGUAAGGCCAGGGAUCGAACCCAUGUCCUCAUGGGUACUAAUCAGGUUCAUUAACCACUGAGUCACAACAGGAACUCCAAAGUUUCAUUAUUUUUCUUUUAUUUUUAUUUUUUGCAAUAGACACACUCAAACUUAAUACACACAUAGGAAAACAUUUCUCAAAUUCUAAUGCGCUCAUGAAUCACCUGGGGAUCUUAUUGAAAUGCAGGCUUUACUUCAGCAAAUCUUGGGCUGGCCUGAAACUCCGCAUUUGUCAUGAUCUCCCAGGUGAGUCUGGUGCUGCUGAUUCAUACAUCAUUUUUUGGUAGCAGGGCUUCAUCUUAUUCCUCAUAAAGUUCUUUAACUUACAUAAUCUCAUAAUUCUCAUGCUACCCCCACCUUGACAACACAUAAGAAAAAGUAAGCUUCUGAGAGCUUCAGAGUCUUGUCAAGACCAUAAGUAAUGAAGUUGACAGUACAACCUAUACACAAUCUAACACCAAUCUAAUUUUCUUUCUACUUCAAAAGAGGGCUUUCCCAGGUACAUCUGCCAGGUGAGACACCCAGCCCUUUGGAGCAAAGUAGAACUAGUUCUGCAAUCCAUAAGUUCAUUCAGGCCAAAUAUUAUCUAGUCAGUGAAUGAACUAAGUACAUCAACUUCAACUAUACAAAAUACAACAAGAGGAUCAAUUUGGCUUUAUUACACAUCAGAAUACAUUCAAUUUUCACUUUAAAAAAAAUGGUUGUACUUGAAGCAUAUGGAAGUUCCUGGGCCAGGGAUUGAAUCCAAGCCACAGCUGUGCCCUGCACCAUAGCUGUAGCAAUGCUGAAUCCUCUAACCCACUGCAGCAGGCCAAGGAUCCAACCUGUGCCUCUGCAGUGACCUGGGCUACUACAGUCGGAUUCUUAACCCACUGUGCCACAGCAAAAACUCCUGCAAUUUUUACUUUAAUUAGACAUUAGAAUGCUAUACAGAGAGAAAUGUCCACUUAUGUAUACUAUGUGCCUUUAACAUGCUGGCUUUAAAUAAAGCAGAAGUUAGUUUAUCUUCUAAUGAGGAAGGGGGAGUGGUAAACAGACUUUUGCUAAUUCAUAAGAUGCUGCUCAGGGUCCAAAGGAAAACAGCAUUAGGGACUCAUUCCCUUCCACUUCUGUCUUCCUUUCCUUUCCCCCUUCCCCCCACCUCCUUCCUUCUCUGCCACUGCAUACAUAUCUAUACAACCCUUAAGGAUCUGGUUUCAUUUUUAUGAUUUCAUUAAUUGAAAAAGCUAAAAUCCUGGUGAAGGAAUGAAAGCAACAGAAAGUCUGGUUAUUGGGAGUGCCGCUGACCAGCUCAUGGCAUCUGUACUGCCGGAAGCCUCCUGCAACAAUCAUUCACAAUGAACAUAUGGCAGACCUCUGUAAGCAACCAUCAUUAUCCUGUCUUUGCCCAUUAUGUUUGAAUUAAUAGUGACAGCACACAUCAUGAUUAUUAGAUGAUGUUUCUAUUUAAUUCCAUAUUAUCUAUUAAAAUCUCUUGGCUCCUACAGACAGGGUAGACAAAAUAGUUAUGCACAGAGGCUCAAGGAACACCCACAUAUUAUUUUUCACCUUUCCAAAAUACAGUUCAAAAGAGUUUACUUUAAAAACCAACACCACCAAAUUGUUACUGUAACAUCUUACUUCUGGUUCUGACUAGAGUGUUGGGAGGAGAAAACGGAUUGUUGCUCUUCUACCUAUUUGUGAGUCAAGUUACAUCAUCUUGCAGAAGGGAGUAGGAGUGACAUUGAAUUUGCAGAGUUUCCAGGUGAAAAGAUGGCUUCUAUAUAGUCUUAGAUGGAAAUGAUAUGUAAGGUACCCCUGCAUUACCAUUCUCUGAUUCUACAUAUCUGCCACUUGGCCAAUAGCUCUAGCAUCAAGGAAAUUGAAAAUGAAGGCCAAUAUGGACCUAUUUAAAGACCGCUGCCUCUGUCCCAUGCACUUCCAGGACUGCUCAGCUAAUGCGAUGUGGAAGGGCUCUAAACUUAACUGCAAAGUAGCCAUUCAGGAGUUGUCUGAGCUAAGGCCUCAGUCCUGUGGCUAGUUCAAGGCAUGCAUCUUACAGGCUUUCUACUGGAGCUUUCUGAGAUCUUAAAACUUAUUACCACCUAUUAAUCACUCAUCCCAAGUACCAUGUUGUUGGGAUAUAGCCAGCACUAGGAAUUAGGAAUGCCAAACGUAGGCUCCAGGGUCUCUCUCUCUUUUUUUUUUUUUCCUGGAAGAGUAUUCUUCUAAAGUUGUAGGUUAAACACUGAUGCAACAAUAGCUAUAACCACUGCUGGGGAUUUCAUUUUAUGGGAGGACUUCUCCCCUCCCCCACUUUAAUUAGAGAAAACUCUUGAUUGCAGAUCUGACACUUGUGUUCACCAUGUCACAGCAUGACAAUCAGUAAUUCUACCCUGUGAGGCUUUCCAAGGUUCUAGCUCUCUGAAACUAUCUUAACAAAAUAAUAUUUAGAUAUUCAUUUUUGUGGGCAAAGUAAUACAAUGAUUCAGAGUGAAGUUUUGAGUGUGACAUAUACGAUGGUGGCCAAACGCCCUCAUUCCACUUAGGUGUCAUUAACUCUAAGUGAAUCCUGUUUUCAGGACUUAUUAUUCUUUAUUGAAAACAGAAUUACAAAAGUUUUCCUCAGCAGAAAGAACUCAGGCAAAGUCUUAAUAGUAGCCUAAAGACUAAAAAUUCAUUUACUGAGUGUAUUUUGUUUAAAAUGAAGUAGCAUAUAAUCUAUUCAGUGUUCAAGUUCACUUGCAAAUAAAUGACUAGCCCUUCUAAUAACAAUAAGGAUCACACCCUGCAUGUGUUAAAAUCUUUUUUAGUUUCAAACAUUUUCCAUAUGGAUUGAAGGGCUUCUAAUCUAAUAAACACUCAAAAAUAUGUUGAUUUAAUUGUGAAUAUUCCACCAAAAAGUUACGUUGAAAUCCUAACCCCCAGGACCUCAGAAGGUGACUUUCUUGGAAAUAAGGUCCUUAGAGAGGUAAUCCAGUUAAAAUGAAGUCAUUAAGGUAAGUCUUAAUCCAAUAUGACGGUAUCCUUAUUAAAAAGGGGGAAUUUAGACAUAGACAGGCAGAGGGGUAAGAUGAUGUGAGGAGAAAGUAAAAAGACAACUAUCUACAAGCCAGGACACACCUGAGGUUUCCAGAAGCUAGAUUUCCUCUGCUUACCUGAAAUCAAUCAUUUCAACUUUUGUUUCCUUUAAUGAGGUCUCUCCUGAAGUAUCUGACAUGGAAGUUGACUGGUCUGCUUCCAUGAUGGAUGAACUUUGGUUACAAAAAUGCUGAAUUUCUAAAUCUGCAUAAUGAGUGUCCAAAGUAAUAUGACUGUGCACCCUGGGAAAAUAAUUUCAGAAGCAAAUCCCUUCUCUCUAAGUGGGAGCUUGUAAUGUCAUUGCAUAAAUGUCCUAGUUUAUUCAGCAUAUAGUGAUGAAGUACUAUUAUGUUCCUGGUACAGUAUGAGACGUAUCAUCUACAAAAUGCAUAAUUAAGCUGAGAUAUCAUUAUAAUUAGACCUGGCAAAAGAAUGACAAUAGUUUCUUUAAUACUCACUCUGGGGAAAGACAGGAAAAGGAGGAGUCCCCACCCCUGCCUUUGAGAGCUUGGACUAAGUUUGGUAUUGUCAUGGAAGAAUUUGGCAUAUUCUCCACCAAAAUGGAGAUGUUUUUGUUGGGCUUAAUAAAUAAUAUUAACUAAACUUCACUGUUCAAAUUAAUUGACAAUUUAAUAAAAUGAUAGUAUUAAACAGUCUCAUGAUAGUAAUUCCUAACCUUGCUUACCAGUAUCACUAUGCUCAGAACUGGUCAAGCAUCUUUACCACCACUUUAUUGGGUAGGUAUUAUAGUGACCUCACUGUACAGAUGAGUAAACCAAUACACAGAGAGGCAAGUAAGUUAUUUUAGAGGUCAGAGAAGCAAUAAAGAGUUGAAUCAAAUUCCAAAACCAUGUAUGUUUGUUCACAGAACUGACGACAGAAACAGAGAACACUCUUUUUUUUUUUUGUCUUUUUAGGGCCACACCCAUGGCAUACAGAAGCUCCCAGGCUAGGGCUUGAAUUGGGGCUGUACCCCUGGCCUACACCACAGCCACAGCAACACCAAAUCAGAGCUGCAUCUGUGACCUACACCACAGCUCAUGGCAAUGCUGUAUCUUUAAUCCAUUGAGCAAGGCCAGGGAUCAAACCUGUGUCCUCAUGGAUAUUAGUCAGAUUCGUUUCCACUGAGCCACAACGGGAACUCCCGAGAACACUCACUUUCUAAACAGCAUACCCCCUAACUAGGUUAAACAGAGAGUAAAAAAUCACCUUUGAAUUUCAUGGAAUAAUAUCCUUUGAUUCAUACUUAUGUAAUAUCCUCCCUUUAUUUUUAUGAAGUCUGAGUCCAAGACAGUAACAGUACUCCGAGAAAAGAAAAUAACAAUAAAAACUACAGAUCCCUCAGCAUGUGAAUUUCAUCUUCUGAAUAAGUCACUCCAGAAAACAAAUUAGUAUUUCAAUAAGAGGAAAAAACAUGUAUAUAUGAUCACGGGGGUAAAGGAAGUAGCAGAUGGCAAAUGGAAUUUUCAAAAAUCCAAUGCUGGUGAAUCAGACACAGGAGACCUGAGAAUAGCCUUUCUUUCAACCUUCAACAAUUCUCUUCCCAAAUAAAAAUUCUGUCAGCUACAGAGUUUAUAUCAAACCUACCACCGAGUAUCCAAAAAA
rnacentral:lncRNA from 1 species